UACGUAGGUGGCAAGCGUUGUCCGGAUUUACUGGGCGUAAAGAGCGCGCAGGCGGUCGUUCAAGUCGCGUGUGAAAGCCCCCGGCUCAACUGGGGAGGGUCACGCGAUACUGAUCGACUCGAAGGCAGGAGAGGGUAGUGGAAUUCCCGGUGUAGUGGUGAAAUGCGUAGAUAUCGGGGAGGAACACCAGUGGCGAAGGCGGCGCUCUGGGCUGGGAACUGACGCUGAGGAGCGAAAGCGUGGGGAGCG
rnacentral:rRNA from 1 species